rnacentral:rRNA from 1 species
CUUGGCCUCGAUAGUGCGUCGUACCCACGCGAUCCCAUCUCGGACUCGGCCGUGAAACCAGACUGCGCCGAUGGUACUAACUGCUAAGCGUUGGAAGAGUAGGUCGCUGCCAAG